GGAGGAUGCAAGCGUUAUCCGGAAUCAUUGGGUUUAAAGGGUCCGUAGGCGGGCAAUUAAGUCAGAGGUGAAAGUUUGCGGCUCAACCGUAAAAUUGCCUUUGAUACUGGUUGUCUUGAAUCAUUGUGAAGUGGUUAGAAUAUGUAGUGUAGCGGUGAAAUGCAUAGAGAUUACAUAGAAUACCAAUUGCGAAGGCAGAUCACUAACAAUGUAUUGACGCUGAGGGACGAAAGCGUGGGGGAGCGAACAGGAUUAGAUACCCUGGUAGUCCACGCCGUAAACGAUGGAUACUAGCUGUACGGACUUCGGUCUGUGUGGCUAAGCGAAAGUGAUAAGUAUCCCCACCUGGGAUACGUUCGCAAGAAUG
rnacentral:rRNA from 1 species